GACAGAGGGCGCGAGCGUUGUUCGGAAUUACUGGGCGUAAAGCGCGCGUAGGCGGAUCUGUAUGUCCGUAAGUGAAAUCCCGCCGCUCAACGGCGGGGCUGCUUGGGAAACGGCAGGUCUGGGGACCGGUAGAGGUCGGUAGAAUUCCCGGUGUAGCGGUGGAAUGCGUAGAGAUCGGGAAGAACAUCGGUGGCGAAGGCGGCCAGCUGGGCCAU
rnacentral:rRNA from 1 species